rnacentral:lncRNA from 1 species
UCUCAUCACUGAACUGGAGAUACAGGAGUUGGAGACUUGGAAUCCCCUUUGGUGCAGAAACUAUUCCUUCAUGAGAAGAAGUCCUUAAAUAGGCUCUUUAGACAGGAGGCCACAUGUUGAAGGCAGCAGGGUCACAAGAUGGAAGAACCAGGGUCCCAGUAUCAUCGCUCCCUGCUUCAAGCUGCCAGGGGCAGCCUAACCCACAUGGCAUUAUGACAUAAGAAACAAAGUAACUAUUGUUUUAUUAAAUCAAUGAGAUAUUGGGCUUCUUGUUAUAGCAACUAGUAUAAAUUGCCCUGACUGAUACAUUAUGGAUUUAGAGUGCACUGUACUACAACUGUUUGUUGUAUUUUCAAAAUUGUGG